rnacentral:misc_RNA from 1 species
AGUCGUAACAAGGUCUCCGUUGGUGAACCAGCGGAGGGAUCAUUACCGAGUUUACAACUCCCAAACCCCUGUGAACAUACCACUUGUUGCCUCGGCGGAUCAGCCCGCUCCCGGUAAAACGGGACGGCCCGCCAGAGGACCCCUAAACUCUGUUUCUAUAUGUAACUUCUGAGUAAAACCAUAAAUAAAUCAAAACUUUCAACAACGGAUCUCUUGGUUCUGGCAUCGAUGAAGAACGCAGCAAAAUGCGAUAAGUAAUGUGAAUUGCAGAAUUCAGUGAAUCAUCGAAUCUUUGAACGCACAUUGCGCCCGCCAGUAUUCUGGCGGGCAUGCCUGUUCGAGCGUCAUUUCAACCCUCAAGCACAGCUUGGUGUUGGGACUCGCGUUAAUUCGCGUUCCCCAAAUUGAUUGGCGGUCACGUCGAGCUUCCAUAGCGUAGUAGUAAAACCCUCGUUACUGGUAAUCGUCGCGGCCACGCCGUUAAACCCCAACUUCUGAAUGUUGACCUCGGAUCAGGUAGGAAUACCCGCUGAACCUAAGCAUAUCAAU